rnacentral:rRNA from 1 species
UCAGAUUGAACGCUGGCGGCAGGCUUAAUACAUGCAAGUCGAACGGUAGCAGCAGGAAGGCUUGCCUUCUGGCUGACGAGUGGCGGACGGGUGAGUAAUACCUGGGAAACUGCCUACAAGAGGGGGACAACACCUGGAAACGGGUGCUAAUACCGCAUAAGCCCUGAGGGGAAAAGGAUGGGAAACCAUGCGCUUGUAGAUGUGCCCAGGAGGGAUUAGCUUGUUGGGGAGGCAAAGGCUCACCAAGGCGACGAUCUCUAGCUGGUCUGAGAGGAUGAUCAGCCACAUUGGGACUGAGACACGGCCCAAACUCCUACGGGAGGCAGCAGUAGGGAAUAUUGCACAAUGGGGGAAACCCUGAUGCAGCCAUGCCGCGUGUGUGAAGAAAGGCCUUCGGGUUGUAAAGCACUUUCAGCGGGGAGGAAGGCGCGAGCUCCAACAGGGCCUGGCGUCAGACGUUACCCGCAGAAGAAGCGCCGGCUAACUCCGUGCCAGCAGCCGC